rnacentral:snRNA from 1 species
AUUGCUUCUCAGCCUUUUGGCGAAGACCAAGUAUAGUAUCUGUUCUUAUCAGUUUAAUAGAACUAUGGAGAUGAUUAUAUGGGAUAGAAUACUA